CAGUGGUCUACACCACUUUCACGUUCUCCUCACAAUCAUGACAGUAGAUGUAGGAUCCACAGCUAGAUCAGCAACGGAAGAGGAGUGAAUGGUAGUGAUGUGACACAGCUGAUGCUGCAGGUCACGUGACAGUAACAUGACAGAUGUAUUCAGUUUGGACUUUAUCCACAGAUGUGAUGGACUGAGGACUGGCACAAGAUCCAUGUUUUGCCACCUACAAGUAUUACACUACCAACCACAUUUGCAUCCCAGCAGAAACAAAUGUGACUUGUCAGGAUGGAUUCAGUUACUUGAAAUUUGAUAAAUACUGCAAACUAUGGACGUACAGAUAAAACCACCUGCUCUAAACGACGUCCAUUCGAACAGCUCCAAAACACCAACUGCUCUUCACCCAAUGCACUGGCUCCUGUGUCCAAAAGCUGCAAUGGUCUGGAAAGUUGUGAGGUGUUUGCGACACAUACAGUCUUUACUGAUCGCUGCAUUGGCACAUACAAGUACCUCGCGAUCUCUUAUUUUUGUAGCCUACCUGCAG
ensembl:lncRNA